UACGUAGGGGGCAAGCGUUGUCCGGAUUUAUUGGGCUUAAAGCGCUCGCAGGUGGUUCGUUGCGUCGUGCGUGAAAGACCCCGGCUCAACUGGGGAGGGUCGUGCGAUACGGGCGAACUGGAGGCCAGUAGGGGGAUGCGGAAUUCCGGGUGUAGUGGUGGAAUGCGUAGAGAUGUGGAGGAACACCGAUGGCGAAGGCAGCCCCCUGGGUCAAGAUUGACGCUCAUGCACGAAAGCGUGGGGAGCAAACAGG
rnacentral:rRNA from 1 species